rnacentral:rRNA from 1 species
UAGCAGUAGGGAAUCUUCCACAAUGGACGAAAGUCUGAUGGAGCAACGCCGCGUGAGUGAAGAAGGGUUUCGGCUCGUAAAGCUCUGUUGGUAGUGAAGAAAGAUAGAGGUAGUAACUGGCCUUUAUUUGACGGUAAUUACUUAGAAAGUCACGGCUAACUACGUGCCAGCAGCCGCGGUAAUACGUAGGUGGCAAGCGUUGUCCGGAUUUAUUGGGCGUAAAGCGAGUGCAGGCGGUUCAAUAAGUCUGAUGUGAAAGCCUUCGGCUCAACCGGAGAAUUGCAUCAGAAACUGUU